AUGGAGAACUACUCGAGGGACUUGCGGCGUGGCAACGAUGGUGGAGACGGCGCCGAGCAGAAGGUUCAGCGCUUGGAUUUGCAGAAGAAUGAAGUCGAACUUAGCCUCGGGCUAUCGCUCGGAGGCCGGUUUGGGCGGGAGAUAAGGAGCAGCGAGGGGCUCGCGAGGUCCUCAUCAGUCGCGUGCAUCCGGGAGGUGGCGUUGGUGCCUGCCACGCUCGCUAGAACGAACUCGCUGCGAACUAUGGCAGAUGCGGAGGAGGAGAACAACACCACUUCCCUUAGGAGCGGCACCGAGGUCCAGCCCUCAGCGACCCUGCAGGGCAGAGGCACAUGUGUGUUGCCCGCAGCAAAGCUGUGGGCCAGCUUGAACCCAUCUCGGGCUCAUCGGAUGGCGAAGGUGUGUCUGCCUUCAUGUUUCCUUCUGACGAUAAUGCUAUAUGUACUGUAUUAG
rnacentral:rRNA from 1 species